GCCCAAUUUAUGCCAUGUAAGUGCCAGUGUGUAGGGUAGAUGGUAGCUGUUUACUGCGUUGAUGAUAUUGGUCUUACUUAACCAAGCUUUAACCCAUGCUUGAGUGAUAGCUGUAAAGGUAGAUCAAUGGUGUUGUAUAGUAAGAAAAAUCCUCUGAGGGUAUGAGGGAGUUGAGACUUGGGGUAGCGGAGGUGUGUGGUGUCAAUAAGUCUAUGGUUAGUCUUUGUUUAA